rnacentral:sRNA from 1 species
CUAACAGAAAUGGAAAAUUUAAGGGUCGCGGCGGAAUGAGCUAUGAAAACGAUUUGCCAAAAAGAACUGGAAAGAGUAGAAUCGAUAUGCAGUUGACUGAAAACUACUUCGAUAAAAAAAAAGGAAUGGAAGGUAAUGGUCGCCAUUCCUCUCUAGAAAAAUCGAACGAAAAUAGAAAAUUUAAUGAUCGAGGAGGAAAUGAACAAAAUAAAACAAAAAGUAAAAAUCGAUGGAGGGAUAGUAAGACUGAUUCAAAAGGAAUGAAGCAACUAAAUCCAGAAAAGAAUAAAGCUAAUUUCGAUAUAAAACACGAGAAAAUUAAAAUGGAACGUGGUGUAAAAGGUGAUUCUGAGUUCAACGAUCGGUUUGAAGAAAAAUUGAAAUGGGACCCUCUCUUAAAUAAAAAUACCCUUGGUGGCAAAAGUGUCAAGAAAUUUUCAAAAAUCGUGGAAAAUUCUGAAACCCCAAACAGUAAGGAACGGAAUACAACGGCGGUGUAUGGAAAUUUAAAUAAAUCAUCACAAGGCCCCAUUAGAAAAAAAACUGCGAAAUCAAAGGCUGCUAAGGGCAUAUUAACUCGUGGACAUGGUCGUUACAGAUGCAAUAGUCUGGGAUAUAUGCAAGAACAUUUACGUUUUGGUCGAUUUGUAUGCCCUUCAGAUUUGCUUCGUGUCAAGCUAGAGCAGCGGGAUCUGUGCAGAUGUAUUCCGUGCUGUUACUCGUCGUUAUACCAGACGUGUAUGCCCUAUAAAUUCAUUUACCAAUGCUGUGUAGCUCCAGGACAGUAAAAAAAAUGUUCUAUUAAGAAGUAUUUUUUCAUUUAAAUUUCUUAUGUGCCUAAUUAUUUAAAGUCAAGAACAUUUGUCCGUUUCA